AGAGUUUGAUCCUGGCUCAGGACGAACGCUGGCGGCGUGCUUAACACAUGCAAGUCGAACGGAAAGGCCUGCUUGCAGGGUGCUCGAGUGGCGAACGGGUGAGUAACACGUGGGUGAUCUGCCCCUUACUUUGGGAUAAGCCUGGGAAACUGGGUCUAAUACUGGAUAGGACCAUGCUGUAGGUGGUGUGGUGGAAAGAUUAGUUUCGGUAAGGGAUGAGCUCGCGGCCUAUCAGCUUGUUGGUGGGGUAAUGGCCUACCAAGGCGUCGACGGGUAGCCGGCCUGAGAGGGUGGACGGCCACAUUGGGACUGAGAUACGGCCCAGACUCCUACGGGAGGCAGCAGUGGGGAAUAUUGCACAAUGGGCGCAAGCCUGAUGCAGCGACGCCGCGUGGGGGAUGACGGCCUUCGGGUUGUAAACUCCUUUCAGCCAUGACGAAGCCUUCGGGUGACGGUAGUGGUAGAAGAAGCACCGGCUAACUACGUGCCAGCAGCCGCGGUAAUACGUAGGGUGCGAGCGUUGUCCGGAAUUACUGGGCGUAAAGAGCUCGUAGGUGGUCUGUCGCGUCAUUUGUGAAAGCCCGGGGCUUAACUCCGGGUUGGCAGGUGAUACGGGCAUGACUGGAGUACUGUAGGGGAGACUGGAAUUCCUGGUGUAGCGGUGAAAUGCGCAGAUAUCAGGAGGAACACCGGUGGCGAAGGCGGGUCUCUGGGCAGUAACUGACGCUGAGGAGCGAAAGCAUGGGUAGCGAACAGGAUUAGAUACCCUGGUAGUCCAUGCCGUAAACGGUGGGCGCUAGGUGUGGGUUUCCUUCCACGGGAUCCGUGCCGUAGCUAACGCAUUAAGCGCCCCGCCUGGGGAGUACGGCCGCAAGGCUAAAACUCAAAGGAAUUAAUCG
rnacentral:rRNA from 1 species